AGUUUGAUCAUGGCUCAGAGUGAACGCUGGCGGCAGGCCUAAUACAUGCAAGUCGAACGGCAGCACAGCAGAGCUUGCUCUGUGGGUGGCGAGUGGCGGACGGUGAGGAAUACAUGGGAAUCUGCCCAGUCGUGGGGGAUAACGUAGGGAAACUUACGCUAAUACCGCAUGCGCCCUUCGGGGGAAAGCCGGGGACCGUAAGGCCUGGCGCGAUUGGAUGAGCCCAUGUCGGAUUAGCUAGUUGGCGGGGUAAAGGCCCACCAAGGCGACGAUCCGUAGCUGGUCUGAGAGGAUGAUCAGCCACACUGGAACUGAGACACGGUCCAGACUCCUACGGGAGGCAGCAGUAGGGAAUAUUGGACAAUGGGCGCAAGCCUGAUCCAGCCAUGCCGCGUGAGUGAAGAAGGCCCUCGGGUUGUAAAGCUCUUUUGUCCGGAAAGAAAAGCGCCGGGUUAAUACCCUGGUGUCCUGACGGUAUCGGAAGAAUAAGCACCGGCUAACUUCGUG
rnacentral:rRNA from 1 species